rnacentral:lncRNA from 1 species
ACUGAACCCCGUGUGUCAUGUCAAUAGCGACGUAUCGAAAGUUUGGGAGCGUUCGCAGCAGCAAAGCGAAAACGUAGAACUGACACGUUUAUAGCAAUGGACUGUUCUAAUUGUUGCACAAAGCGAAUAAAGUCAUGAACGAAGCGUUCUGCAGCUUUAUAAAUGUUGUAAGAGUGCUUAUUGAUGAUAUUCGUGAAUUCAUUUCGCAGCUUAUUUCCGUGUUUUGUCAAACUCCUCCUACCCCUUCGUCUGAAGUGUGCAUCUGAAAAACCCUCGCUGGAAGGGCUAUGUGGCCCUCUCCCUCACCCCUACCCCUCACCGCAAAAUAGAAUUGGGACACCCCUUCGUCUCUCGUGAACGCGCACAACGAAGGGAAAGGGCCAAGCGGAGGGCUAAGGGGGAGAAUUGAGAUUGGGCCUAACUGUGGUUAUGCGGCCUGCUGCUGUACUGGUAUCAAUCACUGCGAAUUUUCAUCUGUGUCACGUGACUCGGCAUCGGAGCAGCGUGCUCACGUUCAGGCGCUCGCGCUCUGGCUAAUGCUAAACGGCUAACCAUGUGGCUUUUGCUUUUACAACAUCUUCUGCAAAGCUGCUGUCAGCGUGCCGUGCCUGAUAAAGCACGCACAAAACUUCCAAGGGGUCUGCUGCAGUGCAAGGCUGGACAACUCAGUCACGCGCCAGCCAAUGGUUUCCUGUCUGGAAAUGGAGCGUACAGAAGAUAGACGAACAAAACGCGGCGAUAAGGGAGAAAUAGUUCUGUCCCGGAGCCAGAUGGCACUAUUCGAUGAUGUCUGGCCCGCAGUCAAGGACAACUGUCCACCCGCUGAGCCAGAGACAGAGCUCCGAAUGGCCCGAGCUGAACACGCCCUGGGAUGUUUGUCCUUGUCUGCAGCCUGUCAGCUGUCCGCCAUGUGGAGACAGCCUGAUCUGACUGGUGUAAGAAAGAGAAGGGGAGCAAACAUUUCUCCACUACUCCCUCAGUCGCUUCACAAAGCUUCAGAAAAAAAAUGCUGA